rnacentral:rRNA from 1 species
AUGAUCAUGCUUUUGUGGAGGAAGAGGAGAAUGAUCGGAGAAAGACUACCAUCUGGACGGAUACUACCAGCAAUUAUGGUUCAGCUGAGAGCAAAUACUAGAGGUUUGGGGCACUUGAAAGUAGUGGAAUCUGCUAAUUGGAGUGCAGAGGUGUGGGACAAUAGCAAGAAUUGUGAAAGACAUAUUGUGAAGCUAAAUCAAAAGACGUGUACUUGCCUUGAAUGGAAGCACACUGGUAAGCCAUGUCAGCAUGUCUUGGCCUUUGUGACCUCACAGAAGAGAGUAGACCUUGAACAAUUUGUGCAUGAGUACUACUCAGUGGACAGAUUCAUAGCUGCGUAUGGGAGAGAGAUUGAACCAAUGACAGAUAAAUCACAGUGGCCAUGA